rfam:Glycine max cultivar Williams 82 chromosome 18, whole genome shotgun sequence.
AUACUUACCUGGACGGGGUCAAUGGAUGAUCAAUAAGGUCCAUGGCCUAGGGAAGUAACCUCCAUUGCACUUAGGAGGGGUGCUUUCCUAAGGUCUGCCCAAGUGGCAGAGCCUACGUCAUAAUUUGUGGUAGUGGGGGCUUGCGUUCGCGCAGCCCCUUC